rnacentral:rRNA from 1 species
UACGGGGGGGGCAAGCGUUGUUCGGAAUUACUGGGCGUAAAGGGCGCGUAGGCGGCGCGACAAGUCACUUGUGAAAUCUCCGGGCUUAACUCGGAGCGGCCAAGUGAUACUGUCGUGCUAGAGUGCGGAAGGGGCAACUGGAAUUCUCGGUGUAGCGGUGAAAUGCGUAGAUAUCGAGAGGAACACCUGAGGUGAAGACGGGUUGCUGGGCUGACACUGACGCUGAUGCGCGAAAGCCAGGGGAGCAAACGGG